UCGCUGACGAGUGGCGGACGGGUGAGUAAUGCUUGGGAACUUGCCUUUGCGAGGGGGAUAACAGUUGGAAACGACUGCUAAUACCGCAUAAUGUCUACGGACCAAACGGGGCUUAGGCUCCGGCGCAAAGAGAGGCCCAAGUGAGAUUAGCUAGAUGGUGAGGUAAAGGCUCACCAUGGCAACGAUCUCUAGCUGUUCUGAGAGGAAGAUCAGCCACACUGGGACUGAGACACGGCCCAGACUCCUACGGGAGGCAGCAGUGGGGAAUAUUGCACAAUGGGGGAAACCCUGAUGCAGCCAUGCCGCGUGUGUGAAGAAGGCCUUCGGGUUGUAAAGCACUUUCAGUUGUGAGGAAAGGGUGUUGGUUAAUACCCAAUAUCUGUGACGUUAACAACAGAAGAAGCACCGGCUAACUCCGUGCCAGCAGCCGCGGUAAUACGGAGGGUGCGAGCGUUAAUCGGAAUUACUGGGCGUAAAGCGCACGCAGGCGGUUUGUUAAGCUAGAUGUGAAAGCCCCGGGCUCAACCUGGGACGGUCAUUUAGAACUGGCAGACUAGAGUCUUGGAGAGGGGAGUGGAAUUCCAGGUGUAGCGGUGAAAUGCGUAGAUAUCUGGAGGAACAUCAGUGGCGAAGGCGACUCCCUGGCCAAAGACUGACGCUCAUGUGCGAAAGUGUGGGUAGCGAACAGGAUUAGAUACCCUGGUAGUCCACACCGUAAACGCUGUCUACUAGCUGUGUGUGAAUUUAAUUCGUGCGUAGCGAAGCUAACGCGCUAAGUAGACCGCCUGGGGAGUACGGCCGCAAGGUUAAACUCAAAUGAUUGACGGGGGCCCGCACAAGCGG
rnacentral:rRNA from 1 species